UUAAAAGUGUGUAGCGAUUCCCCCUUUGCUCUCUCUCCUGUCGUCAUGUGAAUAUGUGCUUGCUUCCCCUUCCCCUUCUGCCAUGAUUGUAAGUUUCCUGAAGCCUCCUCAGCUAUGCCUCCUGUACAACCUGCAGAACUAUGUUUAAUUUUCAUCUUCUCCCACCCUCGAAGGGGAGUUCUGUUUUGCCUGAUGAUUAUUUGAGCUUUUGUGAUGCAGAUUCAGAGGGAAAGAAGUGAGGCUGGAGUUGAAGAACAAGAGGGGUGGACUCCAUGUGAUGACAUAGAGAACUCAGCUCCUUCCGUGUGGUGGAUUUGAUAUCCUGCAGGGCCUCUGAGCCCUGCACUGAUCCUUUUGCAACCUGCCUUGAGAUGAAGAAGGAAAAGGAGCAUGGAGGAUCUGCAGGAGUUUAAUGGGUCAGGCUAGAGGCUAUGGCGCAUGCAGUGGUGCGA
rnacentral:lncRNA from 10 species